rnacentral:misc_RNA from 1 species
GAAAUGCGAUAAGUAAUGUGAAUUGCAGAAUUCAGUGAAUCAUCGAAUCUUUGAACGCACAUUGCGCCCGCUAGUAUUCUGGCGGGCAUGCCUGUUCGAGCGUCCUUUGGACCCUCGGGCCCGGGCGAUUCUGUCGCCUGUGGCCCGGUGUUGGGGACCCGCGGCUGCCGCGGUCCCUUAAAAACAGUGGCGGACUUCUUUACAGCCCUGGCGCAGUAGCACAUCUCGCCUUCGGCAGUGGAGUGGGCCUUGCCCCCAGCACCUACUGACAAAGCUGGACCUCGAAUCAGGUAGGAAUACCCGCUGAACUUAA